GACGAACGCUGGCGGCGUGCUUAACACAUGCAAGUCGAACGGAAAGGCCCUGCUUGCAGGGUACUCGAGUGGCGAACGGGUGAGUAACACAUGGGUGAUCUGCCCUGCACUUCGGGUUAAGCCUGGGAAACUGGGUCUAAUACCGGACAGGAGCCAUUUUUAGUGUGAUGGUUGGAAAGUUUUUUCGGUUUAGGAUGAGCUCGCGGCCUAUCAGCUUGUUGGUGGGGUAAUGGCCUACCAAGGCGGCUACGGGUAGCCGGCCUGCGAGGGUGGACGGCCACAGUGGGACUUAGAGUCGGCUGAGACUCCGACGGGAGGGAGCAGUGGGGAAUAUUGCCAGAUGGGCGCACGCCUGAUGCAGCGGCGCCGCGUAGGGGAAGACGGACUUCGGGUUGUAGACUCCUUUCGUUAGGGACGAAGCUUUUUGUGACGGUACCUAGAUAAGAAGCCCCGGCUAACUACGUG
rnacentral:rRNA from 1 species